AUUGAACGCUGGCGGCAGGCUUAACACAUGCGAGUCGAGCGGAGCGAGUGUGCUUGCACCUUAGCUUAGCGGCGGACGGGUGAGUAAUGCUUAGGAAUCUGCCUAUUAGUGGGGGACAACAUUCCGAAAGGGAUGCUAAUACCGCAUACGCCCUACGGGGGAAAGCAGGGGAUCUUCGGACCUUGCGCUAAUAGAUGAGCCUAAGUCGGAUUAGCUAGUUGGGGGGGUAAAGGCCUACCAAGGCGACGAUCUGUAGCGGGUCUGAGAGGAUGAUCCGCCCAACAGGGACGGAGGCACGUCCCGGGCUCCUACGGGAGGCAGCAGUGGGGAAUAUUGGACAAUGGGGGGAACCCUGAUCCAGCCAUGCCGCGUGUGUGAAGAAGGCCUUUUGGUUGUAAAGCACUUUAAGCGAGGAGGAGGCGCUCUAGGAUAAUACCCUAGAUGCGUGGACGUUACUCGCAGAAUAAGCACCGGCUAACUCUGUGCCAGCAGCCGCAGUAACAC
rnacentral:rRNA from 1 species